GGCCCUACGGGAGGCAGCAGUGGGGAAUAUUGCACAAUGGGGGAAACCCUGAUGCAGCGACGCCGCGUGAGUGAAGAAGUAUUUCGGUAUGUAAAGCUCUAUCAGCAGGAACGAGACAAGACGGUACCUGACUAAGAAGCCCCGGCUAACUACGUGCCAGCAGCCGCGGUAAUACGUAGGGGGCAAGCGUUAUCCGGAUUUACUGGGUGUAAAGGGCGUGUAGGCGGGACUGCAAGUCAGAUGUGAAACCCAUGGGCUCAACCCAUGGCCUGCGUUUGAAACUGGAGUUCUUGAGUGAUGGAGAG
rnacentral:rRNA from 1 species